UACAGAGGUCUCGAGCGUUGUUCGGAUUUACUGGGCGUAAAGGGAGCGUAGGCGGUUCGGUAUGUCGAAUGUGAAAGCCCACAACUCAACUGUGGAAAUGCAUUCGAAACUGCCGGGCUAGAGUACUGGAGAGGAGAGCGGAAUUCUUGGUGUAGCGGUGAAAUGCGUAGAUAUCAAGAGGAACACCGGUGGCGAAGGGGCUCUCUGGACAGAUACUGACGCUGAGGCUCUAAAGUUAGGGGAGCAAACAGGAUUAGAUACCCCGGUA
rnacentral:rRNA from 1 species